GAGAAUCUACCUUUUAGUGAGGAAUACCUUCGGAACCGAUGUUAAUACCGCAUGUGUCCUUAAUUAGAGAUAAUUAAGGGUAAAGAUGGCCUCUUUGCUAUCGCUAAAAGAUGAGCUUGCGUGCUAUCAGCUAGUUGGUAGGGUAAUGGCCUACCAAGGCUAUGACGGCUAGCCGGCCCGAGAGGGUGUACGGCAACACUGGAACUUAGAUACGGUCCAG
rnacentral:rRNA from 1 species